GUAUAUAUAUGAUAAUAUAAUUACAGCGCCAACUUUGGCAAAAUAACAAAAACACGAAUAAUAUGGCUGCGCUUUUAACUGCACUUGGAGUCAUUGCAAUGAUAUCAGCCAUGGCGGCUUUGAUGGGAGUUAGCUUCUGCGUUGCAGUAAAAAUGGGCAAAAAAGCUGAACAAGAUCGGAAGGAUGGCAAGCCAAUACGAUUUCCCUAUGGAGGGGGAUUUUACCAUCCCUACUUGUAAAUAUUUCAAUUCUUCAUUUAUAAUUCAUUGGUUGAUCGCUACACUAAAGACUACUCCAGUAUGGCUGACCAAGUUUUGACGUCAAUCUUGUGUUAUUUUCCUUGUUGAACUCUCUCUAAGCGUACAUAUGAACCGUAAAUCAAAUAGUUAAAGAUUCAUUCCAAAGAGAUUUGUUUUCUUAGCGAUUUUGUGUCGUCUUAUAAUUCCAUUAAAAUGAUAUUCAACGUAUGAAUGUAGGUAAGGUCAUAGAAUACAUCUAAAUAGAUUUUUAUUAUAAUUUUUAAAAUGUCAACUGCAUGCAUCUGUGUAUCAUUUUUAAUAGUAAAAUAAAGUUAUUGUCAACUAGUAACAUGUAGUAAGCUGCGAAACGUUUGUCGAUCAUCGAGCAAGAAAUUUAGUUCUCAAGUUUCAACAUAUUUCAACAACAACUAUGACCAUUUGACCGUGAAAGAUGAGUGUCGGUAUUAUGGUUUUCAAUAAAUUGUUUUCUCAUUUGUUUUUGUUAAGAAAAUAAAGAUUUUUUUGCGUUUGA